AACGAACGUUGGCGGCGUGGAUUAGGCAUGCAAGUCGUGCGAUAACCGUAGCAAUACGGGGAAAGCGGCGAAAGGGAGAGUAACGCGUGGAUACCUACCCCUUGGUCUGGGAUAGCCGCGGGAAACUGCGGGUAAUACCGGAUAAAGUCUCCGGACCACAGGUGUGAUUCCGCCGGGGGAUGGGUCCGCGUCCUAUCAGCUUGUUGGCGAGGUAAUGGCUCACCAAGGCGAUGACGGGUACGAGGCGUGAGAGCGUGUCCUCGCUCACUGGGACUGAGACACUGCCCAGACACCUACGGGUGGCUGCAGUCGAGAAUCUUCGGCAAUGGGCGCAAGCCUGACCGAGCGACGCCGCGUGCGGGAUGAAGGCCUUCGGGUUGUAAACCGCUGUCGGAGGGGAGGAAAUGCCAAGGGGUUCUCUCCUUGGUUUGACCUAUCCUCAAAGGAAGUACGGGCUAAGUUCGUGCCAGCCGCCGCAGUAAUAC
rnacentral:rRNA from 1 species